rnacentral:rRNA from 1 species
AGGACGAACGCUGGCGGCGUGCUUAACACAUGCAAGUCGAGCGGAAAGGCCCUUCGGGGUACUCGAGCGGCGAACGGGUGAGUAACACGUGAGUAAUCUGCCCCUAGCUCUGGGAUAGCUCCGGGAAACCGGGAUUAAUACCGGAUAUGACCACUUUAGACAUCUGUUGUGGUGGAAAGAAUUUCGGCUAGGGAUGAGCUCGCGGCCUAUCAGCUUGUUGGUGGGUAAAGGCCCACCAAGGCGACGACGGGUA